UACGAAGGGGGCUAGCGUUGCUCGGAAUCACUGGGCGUAAAGCGCACGUAGGCGGAUUGCUAAGUCAGGGGUGAAAUCCUGGAGCUCAACUCCAGAACUGCCUUUGAUACUGGCGACCUUGAGUCCGGGAGAGGUGAGUGGAACUGCGAGUGUAGAGGUGAAAUUCGUAGAUAUUCGCAAGAACACCAGUGGCGAAGGCGGCUCACUGGCCCGGUACUGACGCUGAGGAGCGAAAGCGUGGGUAGCAAACAGG
rnacentral:rRNA from 1 species